rnacentral:lncRNA from 1 species
CUUCCCGGCCCCAGGCCCCGGCUCCGGAUCCGGCCCCAGCGCCGCGCCGCGCCCCCGUCCCGGUUCCCUUCCCUUCUCCCCGUCACUUCUCCCGUCCUCUCCUCCCAUUCGGUUCUCUACGCCCUCUCGUCUCUUCCCCUUCUCGCCGCUCCCUGCUGCUCACCUCCUCCUCUUCCAUCUUCUUUCCAUCCCCUAUUCCCCUCUUCUCCCUCAGUGCCCUGGUCUCCCUCUCGCCCCUUCUUUUUCCCAACCGUCAUCUCCAUUCCCCUCUGCCUUUCUCCCAUCCUCUUCUUCUCGCCCCAUCUCCAUCAUUUUCUCCCCAGCUCUUCUCCCCUUUCUCUUCUCCUUACCCCUUCUGCUUGAUCUCUCUCCAGCCUCUUUACAUCAGAUUCUCCUUCCCCACCUCUCCUUUUAUCCUUUUCUUCCUAUCCCUUUCUCCCCGUCUCUUCUCCCCACCUUUCUCCCCAUCCCCUUCUCCCUGUGUCUUUCGCCUCACCUCAUCAUCCCCUUUUCCUCACGCCUUCUCCUCAUUCCCUUUUCUCACCCCUGCCCUUUUCACUACCCGCUGUCUCUUCCCCUUCUUCCAUCGUAACCUCGGCCUUCUCCCCUGUUAGUCACUUUUCAUUAUCCCAUGAUUUCUGUCUCUUUUCUCUCCUUCACCCCCAGGCUCCCUUUCCCCCACUUUCUCUUUAUCCCAAAUUUGAGGGUAGAGAUCGGGAGAUAUUGGAAAGAAGAGCUUUGGGGAUGGUGGUCCCACUCACGAUAUACUCCCUAGAAAAAUUAAGUGAGGAGGAAACCGGGCAGGGAAGUGGGAAGGGGCUCAAAAAACCAACUUGGGAGAGAAUAUGGGGAGAGGGGAAAUCAGACAGAGACAAAGAGCAAGCAAUCUUAAAGGAACUGGGAAGAGUUCUGACUCCUGUCCUUCUUCCUUAGGACUGCGAGUAGACUGUGAGAAAAACAGGUUUUCUGGACUUGAGAUGUGUACAAAUGGCACAAAGAAAUCAGGAACUUCUGUGGAGAAGGAACACAGUUUCAGCUGAAGAAGAAGGGAGUGUGAUUUUGGAAGAGGAGUGAGGGAGAGACUGGGGUCCUUGAUCAUAUCCACGGCGCUUGGGCAGCUGGGUGGAUGGAUGGUGGUGAGGCUGGCUGUGCUCCACAAAAGGAGCAGCAGGAGGCUGCAGGGGGUUCGUAUGAGGAGAUGAUGACUGUGACUUGGGGCUGCUGACUUUGAAGUGCUGGUUGGGUGGUAAGUGGAAUCAUGAGAAUGGAUGUGGCCACCCACAGAGAGCAUGAAGUGAGAAGAGCAUCUAGGCAGCCUUUAAGACAUGGGCAAAAAAAAGAAGAGUCAUAAAAGAGAUUGAGAAGAAGCAGGCAACAAGGUAAGGAACUCAUGGAGAGAAUGGAGCAAGGUCCCAGAGGAGAGAGGAGGGACUGAAGAAUUAACCAUCACAACAAAGAGGGAUUGGUCUUUGCCAGGAAGAGAAGUACCUCCUCCUCCAAGACUGAAAAGGAAGAUGAGUGGGGUGCAGAUAACGGCAUGUGUGUAAGUGUGUGGUAGUGGGGGAAGAAGGUGGACAAGGCAGGAAUUUGAGGCCAUCAUACCUGAUGAUCUCAUUCUCUCUAGAGAGGAGUUGGGAUUUUGUGAAAAAUGGGCACGAGGGAGGCAAUAAUGUUAGAAAUCUUGAAAGCUUUAAAGGAGUGAAGACACUGUUAAGGGAAGUGAUAGCUGGUGGCCUUAUAAGCCUAAAGGACCAAGGAGUUGAGGACACUGGCAAGAAAACAAAGGAUAGAGACACACCUACACCUAAGUCCUUGGUGAAAAAGAGGGAAAGUCAUUUCAUGACAACACUGAGGAGGGUAGAGUCUUGUGUAAGACGGCAUAAUUUCAAAGGCUGAGGGGUGAGGAUGGAGAAAUAGUUGUCUCUGUUUAGGCCUUGGGAAGCCUGGAUAGUGGUGACUCCUUCCCUUUUCCUUCAAAGAUAUGUGAAAGUAUGUGCAAAAGGGGAGUACUUAAGCAAAGCCAGGUCUCUUACACAGGAAGUGGAGGCUCAGAGGUAUAUGAAGGGGCUGAGAAUUCAGGAGUUUGUCACCAUGAAAUGGAGGUUUCAGAACAGGAAAGACUGAGGGG